UUCUGUAAGCCUGUGAAGGUGGCCUGUGAGGGUUGCUGGAGGUAUCAGAAGUGCGAAUGCUGACAUAAGUAACGAUAAAGCGGGUGAAAAGCCCGCUCGCCGGAAGACCAAGGGUUCCUGUCCAACGUUAAUCGGGGCAGGGUGAGUCGACCCCUAAGGCGAGGCCGAAAGGCGUAGUCGAUGGGAAACGGGUUAAUAUUCCCGUACUUGGUGUUACUGCGAAGGGGGGACGGAGAAGGCUAUGUUGGCCGGGCGACGGUUGUCCCGGUUUAAGCGUGUAGGUGUGUGUUCCAGGUAAAUCCGGUUCACUUUAACACUGAGGCGUGACGACGAGGCACUACGGUGCUGAAGCAACAAAUGCCCUGCUUCCAGGAAAAGCCUCUAAGCAUCAGGUAACAUCAAAUCGUACCCCAAACCGACACAGGUGGUCAGGUAGAGAAUACCAAGGCGCUUGAGAGAACUCGGGUGAAGGAACUAGGCAAAAUGGUGCCGUAACUUCGGGAGAAGGCACGCUGACAC
rnacentral:rRNA from 1 species